ACCAUUUCUACGUGCAUUCUACUUGAUAUGACAAUGAGAAUGUGCAGGACAAUGCCGACACUUACAGGGGCAUGAACUAGUGCACUAGUGUGUGAGAAAACCACUAAAGCGAAAGACAAAAAAAAAAAAAAAAAAAAAAACGAAUCAGCCAUCUUUGAUUUUUGUUUUGCUUGCUGUUGACGCACGGCUAGGCCUAGCUGGUAUGGUAGCGUGCAUUGUUCUGGGUGGAGGGGGACAGAAACUGCAUUGACAUUAAACUUCAUUACAACGCCCUGCCAGCAGCGGGACUUUAUGCCUGUUCUGAAGCCCGCAUGCUCUUCUAUGCAACCUGCCCCAUUGCAUAGAACGCCUAUUUAGCAACUCAAGAGGUUCAGCACAACCCCCUCCCACCUCCCCCCACCCUUAUUCCCAAAUGACCGAUCAUCAGUCUCACGCAGCCUAGUUUACCAAGCCGCUCCUCUCCGCCAGGCCAAUAACCUUCUUUUUGUUCUGCUCUUUUCUGCUCUCCUCCUCUCCCACUUCCCCGACUCCUUCCCGAUCCCUUCUUUUUUGAUUUACCCCUUUUCUUCUUCUCUUUCUCUCUCUCCCAUGCACAUUUCCUUUGGUUUUUGUUUUGUUUUUCGGUGGCCCAGUGGCAGAAUCAGUUUCAGGGAUAUGUAUGAGAUGCUCAGGCACAUGUCUCCUCCGUUAGGCCUGGGGAAGAAGUGCCCUGCACGGGUUGCCUACAAGGUAGAGGGCCUCCGAGUGGCCAGCGCUGUGUCUGUACUGUUGGUGUUUUCUCUUUAUUUUCUCUUCUUCUUUUCCUCCUUCGUUGUCUGACGGAGGCCGCUAUUGUGAUUCUGGUGGCAGGGCCGGGUUCGAGGGUGUUAGACUGAGGCAGGCCGAUCCACAGGGAAGCGGGAACGGACUAACCUUCUCAGCACUUUUGCACCGUACACAUAAACACUAACCAACACUUUCAUAGCUUUUGAAACUUCAAAGGACGAAACACAAAGGUCUCAGAUUUGUUUUUACAUUCUACACCUUUAUCAAUACAUUAAAGCAGGAUUCUUAUGCUUUAAUGUACAGCAGUGAUCAAUAAUUGAAUUUCAGGUCUGAGAUGCAGUGUGAUGAACAGAAAAGGUGUCUCAAAUGAUGCACUACACACUAUGCAUGUAUAAUAUGCACUGACGUCUAGUUUGUGAAUUAUAUAUGGUUAAUUUGCCAUCCAGCAUCAAAGUCUGGUUGUCCCUCCACUUAUGCUAUGUAAGGAAAGCGGCGACAAUUGAGUGCACGAAGUGUUCCACAUUCCAAACUUUGUUAUUUCAGUUAAUUAAGUGCAUCAUGCAUCAAAUUUUUAGUGUGAAUACACUACUACAAAAUGGCAUAGAAUAGUGCAUGAGUACACAAACUGGGACACAUGUUAACGCAUACACGUGCAUAUUGUCUGUUCACAUCGUCACACACACACACACACACACACACACGUGAUCACACACACACACGUAAAAACACCCCCAAAUGUGCGUGUGCAGCAGUGGUAGGAAGGCCUGAAGGACUUUAGUCCUCCGAGUCCCUCAGCUCUGUGGAUGCCGCUCUCUUAGGGACCCUUUCCUCUUGGGACCAGCUCUCUGUCUCUCUUUUUUCGCUUAAUAAACAGAUGCACACACAUAUGCAACAACACACAUGUAAUCCUUGGGUAGCGUUAUGGCCUUACAAAGGAACAAAUCAAGUCAUUUUCUACGAUGCACAAGUAAUCCUUUUCCCACUUCUCUUUCUUCUGUCAAUGCAGUUCUUAUCUGUUUCCAGCCCCUCCUCUUUACAUUCUGCCAAUCAUCUGCAUGCCCCGCCUUCCAGGCCACUGGUCCCUACCACAAGAUACUCCCUUAGCUUCUUCUCUCUUUCUCCUUCUCUCUCUGUCUGUCUGCAACAGUACACUGACAUUUCACCUUCCGAUCAAUGAACGACAGCUAGAAGGAAAGGAGAUCUGUGCCCUUAAUGAGCAUUGAACAAAUCUGGGAUCUCCUUUCUCUUACCUUUGCCCCACCCCCUCCAUUUUUCUCUGUCCCAUUUGAUCUCCCAUUUUGUAAAAUAUGUUGCUUCAUAGAGUGUUCAGUGAUCUCCACCAACAUAAACACGUGGUGGAAGACCAACAAUCUCUGUGUAUUCCGUCAGACGGGUCACUUCCUGUCUAACGGGUCUCUGCUGCCCCCUAACCUCAGAGGAAUGAAGAACAGUGACCACGACCAUUGCAUUCACCCUCUUUCUCCCUGUCAAACAUUAGGGACCAUAAUAGAGGAUCGCCUGUAGACAAUGUGACCAGCCUGUGGUAGAGCUUUCUCUUCUUACGUUUCCUGUAGCUUUAUUUUCCGCUUCACUCUCCUUCGCUCUCGGAUUAUCAUGUAGCUUUUGAGCUCUCUUUAAAUUUGGUGUCACUGUCUCUGUCCUGUCUCUUUCAUCACUACCAUCUCAGCCAUCCAAACUUCUCCUGUAAAAGCUGUCAGUCCUAAACCAACUUCUGCUCCGGUACUCCUCUCUGGCAGCACACUGCUUUUCUCUUUAUCAUCCGUAGCAUUAAAGUAUUGCCCUUGCGCAGCAGGUUGCAGAAUCUUCACUCUUAGCUCAUCCUCUUCACAACAACAACUCACAAAGCCAUUUCCUUUUUGUUUUUGUUCUGGAGAAUGCUGCUCUAACCUAAACCAAUAGCCUGCGCCCAUCUUUUUUGCAUUGAGAGACCAGAGAAUCUGGAUCGACGUCUUGUUUUAUCCAGUAGUCCAUCUUUGAUUGAGUCUCAGUGACAGCAAACACUACUAAACCUAAAUGAAUGAGCUGAAACGAACCAACUAGAUGAUGCUUUCAGUGUUGGCUGCGCCGUUGCAUGUCCUGUGAUGCAUGUGAAUGCAUGAUGCAUGCUGGGAAAAGGGUAUUGGGGGUGGAGGGUGAGUGUUUCUUCUGGGAUGGAGCGGGACUGGGAGACCACCGGGUAACGUGGGUGAUUGCAUCGCAGAGGGUGUCAUGGUAACGGAAGGAUUGAGAGACUGCUGCGCAUGGAUCUGCCAGUCGCUGAUGACAACACAGUGCACUUUAAUUCCACACUUAUGGCCUUAAUCCGAACUGCUCUGGACAUCAAGAUCGCCAAGGGUGGGGAAGGAGGCGUAGAUAAGCACCAGAUGGACGCUGAACUAAGGAAGGAGAUGAUGGCGAUAUGGCCUAAUCUCUCUCAGAAGAAUCUGGACCUUUUGGUGACACCCCACAAGUGUAAGUUACCCAGGAGGUUGGUGUGUUCACAAUGUCUCUUUUACCACCCAAGGACAGCUUCUCUCAGCCAGCCCACUCACUGCUCUGCACCCCCUGAUGGUCCAGGCCUGUACCCUUAGUUUCAUUUUAAGCCCUUAUAGAUGUAUACCACACAUUUAGACUGCAGACUGAUCACAGAAGAGGAAAUUCACUAGGAAUGAAUCGCAGACACUGAAAGUGACGCAGAAAGAUUGUAUUAUUCGCAACACUUUAUUUGAAGGUCCAAUUCUCUUUAUCAACAAACCAGUAACUAUGACUUUUGUCUCAAUAAACCACUACGUUUCCUGCGUAUUCCGUAAGCUAGUUCUAAAGUUUAGUUAUUGAAAUGUAGAAUAUGGUCAUGUAGAAUUUGUGCUUUAGAAGUACUAAUAAACAGCCAAUAUGUUAUUAAUAGGCAUGCUAAUAAGCAACUAGUUAAUAGUGAGAAUUGGUCCCUAUACUAAACUGUUACAGUGUUAUUCAAAUCCAGUAAUGGCGCAAACAUGCCAACAAUAUAAUUGAUGAUAACCGUUUGUAUAGGGCAAAUGUAUAAAUAGAUGCAAGGCCUAUACAUGCAAAUGCAACAAGAGAGUAGUUGCAGAAAGUAUAUUUUAGUUUUUGUAAUGAACAGCUAAACGCAUAGCCUUCCAAAGUAUACUCUAUUUGAUAGCAUGCGCUGACACAGAUGCUAGACACCUGCACACUAGAAUGUUUUACCCUUGUCUAGUGUCUGCACUAUUUCUUUCCAAACGUUAUGAGCAAUAAACGCCUUUGCAAACUGUAGAUGUGGUUAUCUUGGAACGUCUUCACAGAAGCGUUUGUCAUAGAGGUCGACCGAUAGUGGAUUUUGCCGAUACCGAUAGCUACGGACAACUUACCGAUACUGAUUUAUUAACUGAUAGUUUUAAAAAUGGAUACUGAACAAAAACUAAAUCAGUGCUUUAUUUA